rnacentral:rRNA from 1 species
CGGCGGACGGGUGAGUAAUGCCUAGGAAUCUGCCUGGUAGUGGGGGACAACGUUUCGAAAGGAACGCUAAUACCGCAUACGUCCUACGGGAGAAAGCAGGGGACCUUCGGGCCUUGCGCUAUCAGAUGAGCCUAGGUCGGAUUAGCUAGUUGGUGAGGUAAUGGCUCACCAAGGCGACGAUCCGUAACUGGUCUGAGAGGAUGAUCAGUCACACUGGAACUGAGACACGGUCCAGACUCCUACGGGAGGCAGCAGUC